UACGUAGGGUGCAAGCGUUGUCCGGAAUUAUUGGGCGUAAAGAGCUCGUAGGCGGUUUGUCGCGUCUGCUGUGAAAACCCGAGGCUCAACCCCGGACUUGCAGUGGGUACGGGCAGACUAGAGUGUGGUAGGGGAGACUGGAAUUCCUGGUGUAGCGGUGGAAUGCGCAGAUAUCAGGAGGAACACCGAUGGCGAAGGCAGGUCUCUGGGCCACUACUGACGCUGGAGAAAGC
rnacentral:rRNA from 1 species